ACACGCGCACAUAUGCACAUGCACACACGCACACACACACAUACACAUACACAUGCACACACAAACACACACUCACACACCUCCUCCCCUCCUCUGAUCCUAAAGCUGGCAGCAGGAAAGCCCCCCGAGGAAACUAGAGCAGAACGCAGUCUGUGGCGUUAGCAGUCUCUUCUGGGCGGUGGGGCUCUGGAAUGAUUUACAUUUAAUUUAGUUUUCUCUUUGCUCAACUGAAUUUUAAUUUUUUGGCAACAGUCCAAUAGUUCUUACAUGGUCGUUUCACAGUGGCACUGUCCGCUGGGAGAAGGGGAGCGCGGAACGGCCAGGCUUCGCCUUCUCCCCACUCCGGCACCUUCCUGGUGGGUCAGUUGGCCAGUGGACAGCCCAGAAGAACCCUCCUGUCUUGGCUGACAGGUACCUACGGCUUUCAACAUAGUGUCUUCAUCCUUCUGUUGAGAUGGGCCUGGAGGCCACUGUCGCUUUCCACCCUGGCUGGGCCUGUCCAGUGUGGAGCUGGCCAGGAUUCCCAAUGAGAGGAAGCUGGAGCCCUGCCCUACCCCCAGCCUCUGUUGAGCCACAGGAGCAUCCGAAGCAGGAACUGCAGUCGGGGUGCAGAGGGCUGGAGGGCAGCUGGGAAGCCCAGGCAGCAAGGGCAGCUGAACAUGAAAGCCUCAAGUUGUGCCCUCUUCAGAGCUGAAUGUGAGCUGAGGACUUCCUUCACCAGCCGUUUACUCAAACAGAGUUCCGGAGUGCCUUUCCAUGGAGCAGAAAGCGGUCACCCAGGGCGGCACCUCCACCCAGGCCUGCCCAAGACUCAGCCCCCGAGUCUCCAGUCUGUUGCUGCCUACUCAGCUUCUCCCCGGGGAUGGCCCUGGUCAGGGUGCGGCAGGCCCCUAGGAGCCCCAAGGGUCCUGUGCAGAGCAUCGUCAGAUCUGAGGACCCCCAGAAGGAAGGCCCUCGUCCACGAGAGUGUGGCCUCCCUGGCCCCCCCACCCCGCCCACUGGCCACCUAGCUGCAGCUAACCGGUGCCUGGUUCGGGGUUUGUCUCCAACUCUGACGGUUUUUGCUCUCAGAUGCUCAUCUCCCAGGGUCACCUGGAGAGCUGCAAACCCAGGGUGCCACAGAGGUGGAACUCGGCCCUCUGAGUCCCACUCCUGUGCCUGGCCCCGGUAGGAUCCAGACCCUGAGUGAGCCUCUGAUGGCUGCGAUGGUCCUCCUCCCCACUCCCUGGGGCCGGAAGCCCUGCUGAACUUGAGCUCUGAGCUUGGACAGAUCUGAGGCCAAGUUAGUUCUCCUAACUGCAAAACCCCCCUUGGAAAUGGCAGGCCUAGCUGCGAAGUGACCACGUCCCCCGAUGGCCCUGCUGUGCAGGAACAGGGUCGGGAGGUCUCGGUGCCCAGUGAAUAGGGCAGGUGGAUUUGUGGAUUCAUGGGGGAGGAGAGAAGAGGGAGGAAUUCGCCGCUCCUCCUGGCCAGGCCAUUUCACCCCUUCUUUAGCGUGGAGCUUAGGCUAAAGGGGCAUUUCACGGGGAUUCGCCGUCCCAGGCGUGGCUCCCCGCGCCCCGUCCUGACCCACCCCCCAGGCAGGAGUGUCAGAGCGAAGCCUCACCGUCACCACCCAAAACGCACGUGUGCAAGAUGUGAUCGUCUGUCACCGAGAUGGAGUAUAUGAUAUGAACCAUGGCAAACACCGUAAUGACUAAUUUCAAACAUUUAUUACAAUUCUUGAGAGACUUGAAAGCUGUCCCCGCUCUUGAUUUUAAUAAAUGCAGUCUUGAAGCAGCCGCUUA